CGUAACUCUGCCGAUGAGGAACGCCGUACAACGAGAAAGCGUGCAGGAACUUCUCUUUUAAAUACACGUUUGUGCAGGACACCGCUAUGCAUGUCAAUACGCUAUCGAGCUUGUCGCCGGCGUCCUUGCCGCCGCACUAAAAAAGAUGGCAUGUCACUACUCAACGUUGACCAAUUGCGAACGCGCUAUCAAAAUACAGGCUUAGUAUGGCGCCUGCGUCAGCGAACGUCUCUACUGUUUGGGGCAAUAGUCCCACUAACGCAGGUCGAAGAAAGCACGUUGCGAGGGGCCGCCAUAGCGAUGCGAGGCACGCAAGGAAAUCGCUGUGGCCCACGUCUGCAAGUAUCAGCGAAUCGGAUAAACGUCAUUUUAGGGAACAUGCUAGAGUACCUAGCAACGCAACUACCUAGAGGCUGUAGGAAUCAACACCGACGUUUGGAGGAUCAACGUGAAGCAAGGCGACAGCGGUCGCGGGAAAGCGAGGAUGGUGUUUAUAGUCGAUUACUCAGCCGCUAAGGUUGCUACCGACUUCGCAGUAACUAACCAUCAACGAGGUGUAUAGAAGUUAGGAAUGAUUAAAGCAGACGUGAGCAUCGAGAUGCGCACUAUGGAAGUUUGGUGACAAGCGAGCUAAAGUAAAAGCACUGGUUCGUUAUGAUAGCGACAUCGGUGAGAACCGCGAAGAAGAUGAGGGCAUGCCUUGUUAAAUCUACACGCUCCGGCGCUGGCUGUAUCCUUACGUUGUUGCCACUGAAAGAGUCCAUGUUGCAGAUACUACUGCGCGCGAAGAGCACUUCCGCUGUUUACUCCCUAGCCCGAAACGUGUUCGCUUUGUGGACCACAUCAUUUAUCUCAAUUGCCUUUGCUGCUCCGGUCCUUUGUCUGUGUAGCCGCCGUUUAACAGUGGCGAGUUAAACCACCAGGCAGCGUGAUAGGUGGACGAUAUUGACGUUUCCCGUCCAUGGAUGUAGUACGGGGCCGUCGCCAGCGGGGACCGCUGGCCUUCGUCGGAGUGGUGCGCGUCUCAAGCUAAAACCAAAGUCGGAACCGAUUAACGAGGAACAAACUGAAUAUGACAUUUCUAGUCUUAACAAGCUUCUAAGUGCGCGCUUAAUUAUGCGCGAGUUGGCCAUUUAUGUAACUAAUCUAGUUUCUGAAUGAUAAAACACAAAGGACAACAGCCAGCGCGAGGAUCGUGUCGACUCGCCAUUACUUACUGUUAAAUCCAGCUAAAUCAGUACUACGUCUCAUUGGGACGCAAUGCGCGAAGUUAGACAAACAAUGCUUCAAAUGAGUGCGAGAAAGACGGUGGCAAAACGAAGGUGAAAAGGGAGGGUAAUAGCCCGGAACGUGUACAUCCUGCACACAAAGUAGUGAAAAUAUAAAG